ACUGCCUACAACUCCACUGACCAGUAGGUGCGAGAGUGCUGGCUCACCUCCAUCUGCUGCUGGCAGUUGGCACUGACAACUGUCAACGAGCCUUUAGUCAUGGCAGUGGUGCAAUGGGAUUGGCAAGCAGUUGGUGUUCUCCAGCCAAUCACUGCACUCCAAGUCACAAUGAUUCUUAACUUCACCCUUUCGUCUGGCUGCUGAGUAGGCGAGUGAAGCAGCAGGAAGCACGCUGAGUGCACUGUGAAAUAUUCGGGCUGGGCAGAUUGUGCUGAAUGUGGAGAGAGAAAAGAGCAUCUGUGAGAACAUCUGUAAGGCUGAGAUCAGAAUAUGACGGUGCAUGUUUCAACAGGCUAGCUGAGUUUAUUACAGACUUAGAGACAAACCGUGCAGCAACUACAAAGAAGACACACAGCAGCACUAAGAGCUCUAAUAGCUCCUAGCUGGUUCUAUCAAGAUCGUGUUUAACAGAUCAAAAUGAAAUCUGUGAAAACCUGUGCAUCCCCUGAGGCUGUCAUUCUGAACGUCUGACAAAAAUUUUGACAACUCCUACCAGACUAAAGACAAUUCACUGGAUCGCACACGAUGCCCUUCUAAAAGAUUUGAAUGUACUUACGUUGUCAUCCUCGCUGUAGGAAAAUGGCUCUUUCCACCAUCACCCUCAACUCUCCAUACGUUUAAAAACGAUUUAAGAAAGAAGAGCAAUACUAUGCCUUGGCCCCUAACCCUGCUAAUAGGAUGUAAAGGCAAAGAAUCAUUGUCUUAAAUCUGUCAGAGAAAAAAUAAACUGUCCCAUAGAAAUAGGAAGGAGAAAUAGAAUCACUGUCAGGAAGCUGAAAGGGGAUUUGGAGAGUCAGGUUUCCAUUUCAUGCAUUAACUGUAUGGUCAGAGUGACUAUGGCUAAAGUUUUAUUUGCUCUUAGGUAUUUGAUUUCAGUGGAAGUUAGGAGCUUAAAUACCACUGAAGAUGUAAGCCUCUGACUCUGGGAUUGCUGGACACAUGUGAGGAGUCCUUCUGAAGUCUUAUAAACACACAAUGACAAGACAUUCAGUGGCAGUUGGAAAUCAGCUGUUCACAUAAAUAAGGAUCAUUACUUGUGGGAGUAACGGCUGCAGGAUUAGGCCCUGAAUUGGUGACGUGUUGUACAGCUUCAGCCUGAUUCUGUAAUAUAUAUCUGGGGAAUAGGAGAGAUUCCACACAGAGACAGCUAUGUUCCUAAAGCAGUCCAGCAUUUCUUCUUCACACAAACCUGAUGGUGAUUGCAACUAACCUGCAACACUUCUGUAUAUGGAUUAAGGCAUCCUGACCUAGCAUGACUCCUGGCAUUUGAUUCGUGGUUCUGAUCUCCCGUUUGUCUCCUGCUUCUGACCUCCUGGUAUCCUGACCCAGCUGACUCCUGUCUUAUCACCCUGAACUCUGACUCUGACUACUAGGCCACCCAGGACC